UACGAAGGGGGCUAGCGUUGUUCGGAAUCACUGGGCGUAAAGGGCGCGUAGGCGGCUUUAUAAGUCGGGGGUGAAAGCCUGUGGCUCAACCACAGAAUUGCCUUCGAUACUGUAGAGCUUGAGACCGGAAGAGGUUAGUGGAACUGCGAGUGUAGAGGUGAAAUUCGUAGAUAUUCGCAAGAACACCAGUGGCGAAGGCGGCUGACUGGUCCGGUUCUGGACGCUGAGGCGCGAAAAGCGUGGGGGAGCAAACAGGG
rnacentral:rRNA from 1 species